UACGGAGGAUGCAAGCGUUAUCCGGAAUGAUUGGGCGUAAAGCGUCCGCAGGUGGCUGUGUAAGUCUGCUGUUAAAGAGUCUAGCUCAACUAGAUAAGAGCAGUGGAAACUACAUAGCUAGAGUACGUUCGGGGCAGAGGGAAUUCCUGGUGUAGCGGUGAAAUGCGCAGAUAUCAGGAAGAACACCCGUGGCUAAGGCGGCUCUCUAGUACGGUACUGACGCUGAGACGCGAAAGCGUGGGGAGCGAACAGG
rnacentral:rRNA from 1 species